AUGAACGCUAGCGGCAGGCUUAACACAUGCAAGUCGAACGGUAACAUGAGUAGCAAUACUUGAUGACGAGUGGCGCACGGGUGCGUAACGCGUAUGCAACUUACCUCUAACUGGAAGAUACCCUUCCGAAAGAAAGAAUAAUACUCCAUUAUAUUUCGAUAUGGCAUCACAUUAUUCUUAAAGCUUCGGCAAUUAGAGAUAGACAUGCAUCUGAUUAGCUUGUUAAUAAAAUAAUAACUCACCAAGGCAACAAUCAAUAAAAAGCCUAAAAGGAUUAUCCCCCACACUGAUACUGAAACACGAACCAGACUCCUACGGAAGACAGCAGUGAGGAAUAUUAAUCAAUGGACGCAAGUCUGAACCAGCCAUGCCGCAUGCAGAAUGAAUGCCCUAUGGGUUGUAAACUGCUUUUAUAUAGGAAUAAACCUCCCGACGUGUCGGGAGCUGAAGGUACUAUAAGAAUAAGGACCGGCUAACUCCGU
rnacentral:rRNA from 1 species